GACGAACCGAGCGAACGUUGUUCGGAAUCACUGGGCUUAAAGGGCGCGUAGGCGGGUCAGCAAGUCCGGGGUGAAAUCUUUCGGCUCAACCGGAAAAGUGCCUUGGAUACUGCUGGUCUCGAGGGAGGUAGGGGCAGAUGGAACUUCCGGUGGAGCGGUGAAAUGCGUUGAUAUCGGAAGGAACUCCGGUGGCGAAAGCGAUCUGCUGGACCUCUUCUGACGCUGAGGCGCGAAAGCUAGGGGAGCAAACGGGAUUAGAAACCCCCGUAGUCC
rnacentral:rRNA from 1 species